CCUACGGGAGGCAGCAGUGGGGAAUAUUGGACAAUGGGGGGAACCCUGAUCCAGCCAUGCCGCGUGUGUGAAGAAGGCCCUCGGGUUGUAAAGCACUUUCAGUGAGGAAGAACGCCUGGUGGUUAAUACCCAUCAGGAAAGACAUCACUCACAGAAGAAGCACCGGCUAACUCCGUGCCAGCAGCCGCGGUAAUACGGAGGGUGCGAGCGUUAAUCGGAAUUACUGGGCGUAAAGCGCGCGUAGGUGGCUUGAUAAGCCGGUUGUGAAAGCCCCGGGCUCAACCUGGGAACGGCAUCCGGAACUGUCAAGCUAGAGUGCAGGAGAGGAAGGUAGAAUUCCCGGUGUAGCGGUGAAAUGCGUAGAGAUCGGGAGGAAUACCAGUGGCGAAGGCGGCCUUCUGGACUGACACUGACACUGAGGUGCGAAAGCGUGGGUAGUAAACAGGAUUAGAUACCCGGGUAGUC
rnacentral:rRNA from 1 species